AAACUAAGUCAAAAGUAUAAAAAGGCAUAGAACGAUUGUUUUUUUUCAAUAUAUAUUCUUCAAAUUUCCAAGUUAUAACUUCUAAAAGUCAAUCAUGAAAGUCUUCUCAACUUAUUUGGUAGCAGCAGUUUUAGUUAUUUGCUGGGCUACAUUUGGAGAGGCGCAAAUAAGAGGAUAUCGCAUGGAUGAAGAUGCUGAAACCGAAGUAAAUGUGGCAGCUUAUUAAAAAUGGAACUCAAAUUCCUUAAAAGAGGACACAAUUUCUUUAACAAUUAUUUGUGUUAAAAUGAUGAAAUAAAUUUUUAAAAAAUUAA